rnacentral:sRNA from 1 species
ACCGGAACCGAUGCGGGUGCAGGGGCGGGUUGUGAAGAUCGGAAAUUAAGGGAGUGAUAAGCGAACCGCUGCAAUCUGCUAGAGCGGUAUGUAUUUAAGCCCGUUCAUAUCCCGCCUCUUUGAAGUAGGCUGCGCAUUCCUG